rnacentral:rRNA from 1 species
AUGAUUGCAAAGUUGCCUCCUUCAUGGAGGAAUUUCGCCACAACUCUGAAGCAUAAGAGACAAGAGAUAUCAGUUGAAAAUCUGAUUGCAUCUCUUGAUGUUGAAGAAAAAGCUCGGGCUAAAGAUACCACUGAAAAAGGAGGUGAGGUUCAGCCUACUGCUAACAUGGUGCAGAGGUACCCACAGAACAAGAACAAAGGGAAGAACAAAUAUGUUUUCAACAAGCCUACCAAGACUACUACCUUCAAGAAGAAGAAGUUCAACAAGGCUGAGCUAGAGUGCUACGCCUGUGGGAAGCCUGGACACUUUUCCAAGGAAUGCCCUGAACGUGCAGACCGCAGAGGGAAAACAAGCUCCAAGACUGUCAACAUGGUGACCGCUAGCAAUACUGAUGGGUAUGGUAAUUUACCUAUUGUGCUUUCAGUAUUUCAAUCAUCUUCGUGGUGGAUUGAUUCGGGUGCUAACGUUCAUGUGUGUGCUGACAUCUCCUUGUUUACUUCUUAUCAGGUCGCAAGGGAUUCUUUCGUCCUAAUGGGGAAUGGGUCACAUGCUUCUGUUCGUGGCAUUGGCAUGGUGGAUCUGAAGUUUACUUCGAGAAAGAUCGUGCAACUAAGGAACGUGCAGCAUGUCCCUACUAUGAACAAGAAUCUAGUUAGCGGCUCCCUUCUAUGUCGAGAUGGAUUUAAGGUAGUUUUAGAGUCCAAUAAAGUAAUCGUGUCAAGAUUUAGACAAUUUAUAGGAAAAGGCUAUGAGUGCGGAGGCUUGUUCCGCUUUUCUCUUUUAGAUUUUUGCAAUAAGUCAAUAAACCAAAUUUGUGCUAGUGUUAAUGAUGAUGCAAGUAUUUGGCACUCUCGUUUAUGUCAUAUUAAUUUUGGUUUAAUGUCUCGGCUAUCCAGCAUGAGUUUAAUUCCGAACUUCACAGUUGCCAAAGGUUCUAAGUGCCAUAGUUGUGUGCAAUCUAAGCAACCUCGAAAGCCUCAUAAGGCUGCCGAGGAGAAAAACUUGGCACCUCUAGAACUCAUACAUUCUGAUCUUUGUGAGAUGAAUGGUGUGUUGACAAAAGGUGGAAAGAGAUAUUUCAUGACUUUGAUUGAUGAUGCGACUAGAUUUUGCUACGUUUAUUUGUUGCAAACUAAAGAUGAAGCAUUAGACUACUUUAAAAUCUAUAAAGCUAAAGUUGAAAAUCAACUAGAGAGAAAGAUCAAGCGUCUUAGGUCCGAUCGUGGUGGAGAGUAUUUUCCAAAAGUUUUUGAUGAAUUUUGUGAGGAACAUGGUAUUAUUCAUGAGAGGACGCCUCCCUAUUCACCUCAAUCAAAUGGAGUGGCCGAGAGGAAAAACCGCACAUUGACUGACUUGGUGAAUGCCAUGUUAGACACUGCUGGUUUAUCUAAGGCAUGGUGGGGGGAGGCUCUAUUGACUUCAUGUCAUGUCCUGAAUAGAGUUCCUAACAAUAAUAAAGAGAAAACCCCUUAUGAGGAGUGGGUUGGGAGAAAACCAUCACUUUCUUAUUUGCGCACUUGGGGAUGUUUGACAAAGGUCAAUAUUCCUAUUCCUAAGAAACGCAAACUUGGACCAAAGACAGUGGAUUGUGUCUUUCUAGGGUAUGCUCAACGGAGCAUUGCUUAUAGGUUUUUAGUGGUAAAAUCUGAAGUACCUGAUAUGCAUGUUGAUACUAUAAUGGAAUCUCGUGAUGCAACAUUUUUUGAGAACAUAUUUCCUAUGAAAGAUAUGCAUAGCAUUGCUAGAUUUUCUUCUGAGAUAAUUCCUGAAUCUAGUACAACUGAUGAAUAUUUCGAACAAUCACAUGAGGAAGUCCUUGAGAAGGAUAACAAUGAAGUUCCUAGAAGGAACAAGAGACAAAGGAUUGCAAAAUCCUUUGGUGAUGAUUUCAUUGUAUACCUUGUGGACGACACACCCAAGACGAUUGCAGAAGCAUAUGCAUCUCCGGAUGUAGAUGAUUGGAAAGAAGUUGUUUGA